UACGUAGGCAGCGAGCGUUGUUCGGAAUUACUGGGCGUAAAGGGCGUGUAGGCGGACCGGCGCGUCCCGUGUGAAAGCCCCCUGGCUCAACUGGGGGAGGUCAUGGGAAACGGUCGGACUGGAGCCCGGUAGGGGGCCAUGGAAUUCCCGGUGUAGUGGUGGAAUGCGUAGAGAUCGGGAGGAACACCUGUGGCGAAGGCGGUGGCCUGGACCGGUGCUGACGCUGAGGCGCGAAGGCGUGGGGAGCGAUCCGG
rnacentral:rRNA from 1 species